rnacentral:piRNA from 1 species
UGUUAGAGAUUCGACUGCCCCAU